rnacentral:rRNA from 1 species
CAGUAGCCGCGGUAAUACGGAGGAUCCAAGCGUUAUCCGGAUUUAUUGGGUUUAAAGGGUGCGUAGGUGGCCUGUUAAGUCAGGGGUGAAAGACGGUAGCUCAACUAUCGCAGUGCCCUUGAUACUGAUGGGCUUGAAUGAACUAGAGGUAGGCGGAAUGUGACAAGUAGCGGUGAAAUGCAUAGAUAUGUCACGGAACACCAAUUGCGAAGGCAGCUUACUAUGGUUUGAUUGACACUGAGGCACGAAAGCGUGGGGAUCAAACAGGAUUAGAUACCCCAGUAGUCCCUGUCUCUUAUAU